rnacentral:rRNA from 1 species
UACGUAGGCAGCGAGCGUUGUUCGGAGUUACUGGGCGUAAAGGGUGCGUAGGCGGUUGUUUAAGUUUGGUGUGAAAUCUCCCGGCUCAACUGGGGGGGUGCGCCGAAUACUGAAUGACUAGAGUGCGGGAGAGGAUAGUGGAAUUCCUGGUGUAGCGGUGAAAUGCGUAGAUAUCAGGAGGAACACCGGUGGUGUAGACGGCUAUCUGGACCGUAACUGACGCUGAGGCACGAAAGCGUGGGUAGCAAACAGG